rnacentral:rRNA from 1 species
CGGCCGGGAACUCAAAGGAGACUGCCAGUGAUAAACUGGAGGAAGGUGGGGAUGACGUCAAGUCAUCAUGGCCCUUACGACCAGGGCUACACACGUGCUACAAUGGCGCAUACAAAGAGAAGCGACCUCGCGAGAGCAAGCGGACCUCAUAAAGUGCGUCGUAGUCCGGAUUGGAGUCUGCAACUCGACUCCAUGAAGUCGGAAUCGCUAGUAAUCGUGGAUCAGAAUGCCACGGUGAAUACGUUCCCGGGCCUUGUACACACCGCCCGUCACACCAUGGGAGUGAGUUGCAAAAGAAGUAGGUAGCUUAACCUUCGGGAGGGCGCUUACCACUUUGUGAUUCAUGACUGGGGUGAAGUCGUAACAAGGUAACCGUAGGGGAACCUGCGGUUGGAUCACCUCCUUACCUUAAAGAAGC